AUUGAACGCUGGCGGCAGGCUUAACACAUGCAAGUCGAGCGGGGGAGGUUACUUCGGUAACUGACCUAGCGGCGGACGGGUGAGUAAUGCUUAGGAAUCUGCCUAUUAGUGGGGGACAACAUUCCGAAAGGAAUGCUAAUACCGCAUACGCCCUACGGGGGAAAGCAGGGGAUCUUCGGACCUUGCGCUAAUAGAUGAGCCUAAGUCGGAUUAGCUAGUUGGUGGGGUAAAGGCCUACCAAGGCGACGAUCUGUAGCGGGUCUGAGAGGAUGAUCCGCCACACUGGGACUGAGACACGGCCCAGACUCCUACGGGAGGCAGCAGUGGGGAAUAUUGGACAAUGGGCGGAAGCCUGAUCCAGCCAUGCCGCGUGUGUGAAGAAGGCCUUUUGGUUGUAAAGCACUUUAAGCGAGGAGGAGGCUCCUUUAGUUAAUACCUAAAGAGAGUGGACGUUACUCGCAGAAUAAGCACCGGGUAACUCUGUGCCAGCCGCCGCUGUAA
rnacentral:rRNA from 1 species